rnacentral:lncRNA from 1 species
GCUUCCAACCUCAGCUUUGAUGAACAGUGCACACAUUGUGAGAAGGUGAUACUAUUUGUUUUCAGAUUUGAAUGUGGAAUGGAAUAUAUUCCCAUUUGGUUUCAAAACUUCAAAAAUACAAAUAGUAUGAAGUUUGAACUGUUGAAGCCUUAUCUGCAGUUUCUACUAAUCUGGUUUGGGUGAAUAUAACUUUUUGAUGUACUCUUUUGAUUUUGCAUGUUGAUCAUCCCUCACUUCAAUUCUGAGUUUUUCUUGCUAAUAGCCCAAAAAUGUUCGAAUUUAGAAUGGCAUUUCAAAGGCAUAUGUUAAUUCCUAUAUUUGAUUCCAAAGCUUCAAGGGAAUAAAAUCAGCCAAGAUUAGUGCACUGGUGGAUGUCAUGAUUUCUUUGAAACAAAUCCCCCUCCUAUUUCCCUUUCUAACAGUCCUUACUCCUUAGCCAGGUCCGAAUUCAAACACCUAUCAUCAAAUGUUGCUCAUAGAUUUUCAUUCCUGCAAGAUUGGACAAUCCAGGUGGGUCAUUCUUGUACGUCAGGGGUAUGUUAACUAUGAAAGUCCAUGUCCCUUGAGUAUGAGUCACGAGGCAUUUAUAAUAACUUGGGCGUUCCCUCUCCCUAUGAGAUAACUUUUGGGGUGGAGUUGAGUCAACUAAUCUUAAUAGCCCUUACGAAACUGGGAUCUCUGUUCCUUCAAACAAAAUGAGUAUUUUUGUUAAUUAUCUCUUCUUGUGGUUUGCAUUGAAUGUCUCCAUUACCUUAAUCUUCUGUUUCAUAUUAAUUCAUAUAUUUCAACUAGUUGGAGUCAUGCGAAUGUUAAUCAAUGCUGAAGUUAGUAUGUUGAUUACUUUCAAGCUUUAAUGUUUGUGCUUUUUGUACAGGAAUCAAUUAACAAUUCCUUAUCAAACCUACUUACUUACCCCUGGAUAGAAGAAAAGGUGGCAAAGGAAGAACUUUUUGUUCAUGGUGGUUACUACAAUUUUAUAGACUGUUCAUUUGAGAAAUGGACACUGGAUUACAGAGGAACCAAAUUGGAGGAAAACGGCAGAAUUGCGGUCAAAAACAAAGUUUUUUGGUCCUGAGUUUUACUUCUAAUUUCCUGUAUGAUGUAUUGCAUUACUUUUCUUAAAUUUAUUCUAGCAGUAGCAGGACUUCUUUUUUGGUAUGAACCAUCUGGUAUCCAUAUACACAAGAGUGUCUACUAAUCCGGAUUCUCAGGGGCUUGAACUCGAAAAUUCUAGUUAAGAAUUUAUGCUAGUUAAAAGCAUAGGUUUAAUUAUGUACUUAUGUACACCAUAAAGAUUAUAAUAAUUCAAUUGAUUGCCAUUUCAUGUGUCUGUUAACUGUGUUUUCCGAGUUACAUCAUAAUCUGCAGUUCUGCACUGUGUUUAUGUGAUUCCCUCUUUUCAAAUAUUGUCCAAAUUUCUUCAUCUCAUAAAUUCAAAGCUUAAUCAAUAUGACAUAGUUCAUUUCCCACCAUCACAACUGGCAUAGUUCAUAAUCACUCAGAAGUUCCUCAAAAUUUCUAUCUCUGCAACAAAUUCAUUGCCAAAUUUCUUCUGAUAGAGUAAGUCUAGUCUCACAAGGUGCUGUGAGUGAUGCUAUUUUCACUCUUCUUCUUCGUCUUCUUCUUCUUCUUCACAUCUCAUUUUAUAUCUAAUUUAUAAUGAUUGAUUACCUACACAUUAUUGUUGCUAAAGCAAAAGUUUUAUCCUGGAUGGUAAUAAACUAGGUGUAAUAUAUGAUAGACAUUUACCUAUCACAGGCAAGGCCCUUCUUAUGACAGAGUAAGGAAAGUAGGAAACAUUAAACUCUUCCUUAAAUUUCUCUCACUUGGACAAGUUUUGAUUCCAUCUGUUUCUCAUUCUUUGCUUUGCUGUUCUUAUAUUCCAACAACACAAGUUUUACAAUCUUGUGCUUCAUGUAUAAACUAACAAGAAAUUUCUUAUCUUUUUAGUGACUGAAUUUUAUGAGUAGAGCUGUUCCAUUCUAUUGCCAGCUAUAUGAUUCUUCAAUAAUACACAUAUAUGCAGUAUGCACAUUAGCAUGUGUGGGAUUUGAUAAGUAUAUAUUUGCAUGUUGGACACAAUAAUAGAUACACAUAAUUCACAUUUUAGUUGGGUUAUCUAGCAGUGAAAGGAUUUCACCAUGUACUUAAGCCAACACUGAUAUAUGAAUUAUGAAAAGUAGGCAAAUUUGAAAGAAGAAAAACCAGUUUAUAAAUUUGUAAUGAUAGGUAUUUAUGACAAGAUAGAUAUACAGAUUAUUAUAAAAGUUUCAUUAUUCGAAAACUUUUUCUGUUGAUAAAUGAAUAUUAAUCCUCUCUCUUACUUUUUAUCAUUUUUCCGAAUAAGCCAAUUGGACCAUGUUGGUCCACUCUUUUUCCUAUUCAAAGAUCAGGUUUUAGAUUAUGUUUUCACAUCAAAAUUAUUUGGAGAUGAAAAGAUUUGAAUGAGGCUUUUUACUUUCCAAAUUGACCUUUAUAUAUAUAUAUAUAUAUAUAUAUAAAGACUGGUUUAUCAAAAAAGAUGAUUUAAUGUACGAGGUUCCUUACUAGUGAGGUCCACGAGGGUAGUUGUACACAAAUAUUCUUUCGCAUAUAAAAAACUGUAUCCGAUAUUUGAACUCAUGAUCUCCAAUUUAAAAGGAAAACAACAUUACCUUUUCGCCUAGACUCACCCUCAAUCUUUUUAUAUUAUAUUUAUGUUUAUGCAAGAAAUUGAAGUAAAUAUAGUUGGAGUGUUGUAACAAUUACUUAUCCUCAAUACCUCUCCAUGAGUCACACGAUUCACUAGCUACCUUGUCUAUAUAAAGGACUCACAUAACAUCUCAAAAUAAAGCAAAACCAUUUGCAUAAACUAGUCCUUAGUUCAGAAUCUCUUGUGAUCAUGGCUUCUUUCAGUUUCUCACCAUUCAUUAUAGCUCUUCUGCUUCUAACAUUUUCAUCAAUGAAAGCAGAGGCACGUCACUUACUACAAUCACUGCCAGUGCCACUGCCAUCACUUCCAGUACCAGUUCCAUCACUUCCAGUGCCAGUUCCAUCACUUCCAUUUCCAUUUCCAGUGCCAGUAUCAGUGCCAAGACUGCCUUUGGUUCCAAUUCCACCACUUCCUAAUGUUCCAAUUCCACCACUUCCUAAUGUUCCAGUACCUGGUGUACCAAUCCCUCAAGUUCCACAGGUUAGUGAGGUUGAGUUGCCACAGUUACCACAAGUUCCUAAGGUUGUGCCUGCAAUACCAAAGAUACCUUCAGUAGUUCCAGUUCCUGAGUUACCUAUUCCUUAAACUACUAUAUAUAUAUAUAUAUAUAUAUACUUUGGUCUAGUAACUUGUUAUGUUUGAUUAUUGUAUUGUUUAUAUUUUGUUGUUGCUAUCUCAGGGUUGCUCUAUUAAAUUAUGUUAUCUUCAGUUUUUAUGAUGUUCAUUGUGAUAUGUAAUGUAUUAGAGUUUCAUUCUUGCAGUUCAAUGUAAUCUUCAAUUUCUGUAUAUUGUGAUCAUGGAUGCAAAAUUUCUUCCAGUAUAGUCAAAUUCAGUGUGUGUACAAGUAGUGAUGUUACAACAGAGUGAGACAAAUGAUCUAAGACACAUAUGAGUAGAACAACGUCGUCAUAAUGUUCUAUCAUAUUUAUUAGCGCAUUGAUCUUAUACAACAUGAUACAUUAUAAAGAAAUAUAAAAACAUCGAUAACAUAAUACUUAAAUCAUAAAAUAAAUAAAAAAAAUCAUAACUUUCUAACUUCUAACAUUUUUACAAAACUCUGAAGUAUCUCAUUUAAAUAAAAUUAGCUAAUAGUUUGUUUAUGUAAUAACAAACCAAACAUCUUAACAGCAAAAUUUGUAAAAUGAGUAAGGUUGAAUUCACCCUUGAUCUGAUAAAGUGUAUAAAGAUCUGAACUCAUCACAAUGAUAAAAGAUAAAUUCACUCUUACUUGUUCAUUUUAUAAACAAUUUCACUUCAGAGAAGUUAGUUUGAUUCUUGAAUGAAAUAGGAUACUAAGUCACAUGUAGAUAAUAUUGUAUUGGAUAUGUAUCUAGAUGAAUGGAAACCAUUUUAGAGUACUUAGGAUAUGUAAUAGUUAUAGACUUGUAGGAUUCAUUCAUUAUCUAUAAGCCAUGCAGGAAUUAUCUAGUAUAC